AUAGGACAAGAAGCAAUGGGCUUAAAUUGCAGUAAGGACAGUUUAGGUUGGACAUUAGGAAAAAUCUUCCUAACCGUCAGGGUGAUUAAGUACUGGAAUAAGUUGCCUAGGGAGCUUGUGGAAUUUCCAUCACUGAAGAUCUUUAAGGCCAGGUUAGAU